rnacentral:rRNA from 1 species
GACGAACGCUGGCGGCGUGCUUAACACAUGCAAGUCGAACGGAAAGGCCCUGCUUUUGUGGGGUGCUCGAGUGGCGAACGGGUGAGUAACACGUGAGUAACCUGCCCUCGACUUUGGGAUAACUUCAGGAAACUGGGGCUAAUACCGGAUAGGAGCUCCUGCUGCAUGGUGGGGGUUGGAAAGUUUCGGCGGUUGGGGAUGGACUCGCGGCUUAUCAGCUUGUUGGUGGGGUAGUGGCUUACCAAGGCUUUGACGGGUAGCCGGCCUGAGAGGGUGACCGGCCACAUUGGGACUGAGAUACGGCCCAGACUCCUACGGGAGGCAGCAGUGGGGAAUAUUGCACAAUGGGCGGAAGCCUGAUGCAGCAACGCCGCGUGCGGGAUGACGGCCUUCGGGUUGUAAACCGCUUUCGCCUGUGACGAAGCGUGAGUGACGGUAAUGGGUAAAGAAGCACCAGCUAACUACGUG